UGCGUAGGCGGCCAGAUUAGUCAGAGGUGAAAUCCUACAGCUUAACUGUAGAACUGCCUUUGAAACUGUUUGGCUAGAAUAGAGUUGAGGUUAGCGGAAUGUGACAUGUAGCGGUGAAAUGCAUAGAUAUGUCAUAGAACACCAAUUGCGAAGGCAGCUAACUGGGCUUUUAUUGACACUGAGGCACGAAAGCGUGGGGAGCGAACAGGAUUAGAUACCCUGGUAGUCC
rnacentral:rRNA from 1 species